AAAUGGGCAAAUGCCCUUUUUUUCGGAAAUUAAACAUCUUUGUGCCCUCAUUCUGAAACUAAAUAGGGAAAUGCCCCUCUUUUGUAACUCGAUGAUCCUAAAAUCGAGUUAUAUGAAAUACUCGAUACUCCAAUAAUCGAGUUAUACACAGGUUUUUCCCGCACUGCUGGCAUUUUUUGUUUUGAAUCUCUACAUAACUCGAUUAUUUAAAAAUCGAGUUAGUUAUACUGUUAUAAACCCUGAUUUCGUACUGUCUUUGUGUCAGGUGGAGUGUUUCAAUGUAACUCGAUUCCUGGAAUAUCGAGUUAUAAAGUAUACUUGAUAUCCGUAAAGUCGAGUUAUUCUCUUAUAAUUUCUGCACACCUUCUCCCACUCAGUGUGCCUUGCUCUCUGCUGAACUGAGGACUUUCUGCUGAACUGAGUUGGAACUCCUCCACGGAUCAACAGCAGCUUUCUUCAAACUCAAUUGAAAUUUGUAUCACCUCAGUGUCAAUGUCUGGUUCUGGCAACCCACAACUCUAUAGGCCUCAUGAUGUGUUCACUGCUAUGGGUCGUUGUUGGGUAUUGGAAGAUGAGUUCAGCUAUCCAAUCAAUCCGAAUUUGUGAAAUAGUGCUUACGUUCACAAUACCAUGAGACAGGAGUGGGCUUGGUUAUUUCGUGAACAACAAAUGUUUUAUGAUGAGUUGGUUGGUUUUAAGUUGCCAGUGCCUCGGCGACUCGCAUCACAAAUGCCCAGAGACAGCAUCGACGAACUUCGUAAAGCAUUGAACCGCAUAAGAGAAGAAAAUAAUCGAAUGAAGAUACGUCUUAAUCGAUAUCGGACCCAAGUCGAGAUUCGAGAGUCAGUGCAGGAAGGGUGGUAUGAGCAUGCACAGUUCAUGCAAUCACUUCUUGCUGAUCCCAUUUAUCAGUCAGACGUGGAGAUGUCAGAUGAAGAGUAAUCGUGUUGUGUCGUGGUGUAAUUAGAUUUUGUUGGAGAACUAUUUUGCUUAACUAUGUGUUAUAUGUAUGGUUGCAUUUGUACUAUGUAAACCUUAUUAUUGAUUAUGAGAAGCAUGCACGUUAUUCGUAAUGUAGAUUA